rnacentral:lncRNA from 1 species
CCUCUUAUUGAGAUGGUUCUUGAUCUUCUUUUGAUGACGUACGUGAAUUACAUUGUGUCUGUGAGCAAUCCUUCCGAUUUCUAUUUUUUGCUCUAUGUCUAAAGGCAUAGAGACCUCAGUACGUGACAUCUCUACCACCAUGAUGGAUUCCAACCUUGUACCAUCAAGAUUGAUAAUAGAACUUUCUGUCAUUCCUACAAAAUUUAAGUUAACUAGUUAUAACCUCAUCUAAUGGUUGGUAUACAUUAGGGAAGUUCUGAUUGGCCAAGGGAUGCUACAUCAUUUAGAGGAUACAACCACCAGAUCCCAUGUCAAGAUAAUUCAAGAAAUGUUGAGAGGAGGAUGCUUUGAUAAAGAGAUAGAUCUGGGGAACCAGGAUUCCCCAGAUUAGUAGAGAUGUUUUAUUCAUGAGAACUGUGAAAGAUCCAUGGGGAACAGUACAUAUGAAAUACUCAAUGAAAAACAAUGAGGCACGUGUAUAUGAAAUAGAGACAAAGUUUCAAUCUGUUGUUCAAUGAUCCAAAUCGGUGCUGGAGUAUGCGGGGAAAUUAAAGAACUUGUGGCAGGAGCAUAAUUACUACCUUGUUCUUGAAACUAAAAAACCCAAAGAAAUUACUCUCUUGCAUAAUUUCUAGAACGAAGGCAUAUAUUUAAAUUUCCUGCUGGAUUAAGUCCUAUUUUUUAUCAUAUUAGAAAAAUAUUCUAGGACGUGAAAGGAGACCAGUUCUUAAUAAGGUGAUCUCAAUUGUCUUACAUGAAGAGAGUCAUCAAAAAUUGAUGGGAUCUGCUCAAGAUCUAGGUAAUACAGCGUUUAUGGUAAAACCUAGACACAUGAUCAAAUCAGUAGCAGAUUCGGUUCACCAAUCAUCUUCUAUGCAAGGGAAAAACCAGAAAAAUGAUUACACAGAAAAUCUUCGAUGUAACUAUUGCAAGAAACCCUACCAUACUAGAGAUCGUUGUUAUAAGCUUCAUAGUAACCCAUGAAGUUCAGACAAUUGCAUGAGUCAAGCGCACAUGGUAACUAAUUCAUCAUCUAUUAGAGCUCUGAUCAAAUGAACCCAAGAAAUGCCGAUUCAGCUCCAUCAAAAGAUGUGGAGGGACUUUGCUGUGAAUUAGAACAAUUAAAGGCAAUGGUAACACAACAAUCACAGCCAUCAAUGAGUCAUCAAAUUGGUGAGUUCCAUUAUUCCCUUGGUGUCCAAGCUCCGUCCCAACACAUUACUGGAUGUUGGUCUUGUCGAGAUGUGUCUAGUACACCUCACAUGUCCUUCCUUAUAUACCUAAGUGUCUUCCUUCAUAACUACAUCUGUGUGUCUCUAGAACCUUCUAGGGAGGCUCAUAUAAAUACCAGACAUCCUCUCCCUUUGUAUGAGUGAUUUUUUUGAUGAAUAAGAGAAUCAUUAUCUUUCCCUGUAUGUGUGUGGGUUACCAUACAGCAUACUGAGCUUGAUUCAAGUUUCUACAGUUGGAUAAUCGACUCGAGAGCAACAGACCAUAUGAAAAAAUCUUCAUACUAGUUCCUCCCCUACAACCCAUGUUCCAAUGACCGAAAAGUGUCCAAUGCUGACAGUACAUUUUUCACCGUCACUGGUAUUCAAGACCUUACUCUUGAACCUUUAAAAAUUCUCACCGAAAGUCCUCCAUGUUCCCAAACCUUUAACCAAUCUUAUCUCCAUCAAAAAACUUGUUAAGAACACACCUUAUCAUGCCUUUUUUAAUGAAGAUAUUUGUGUUAUCCUUGACAAGGUCUAGAGACAGAGGAUUGGAGUUGCUAGAGAAUGAGGGGGACUCUACAUCCUGAAGGGAUUUAGCCAAACCAAUCUUGUGAAAGCAGAUCCAUCUCUAGAGCAUCACAAGGACCUUUCUCACAUCCAGCUCCAUUAACGAUUAUGACAUCUUUCCUUUACCAUUAUGAAGAGUUCUUUCCCUUCUUUGUUUUAAAAAAUCUCCGUGAAAACACUUAAGUGUGAUGUAUGUGAACUAUCCAAACAUACUUGCAUGUUUUUUCGAACAAAAAAUGAAAUGAGCGAAAUUAUUUUCUUUCAUAUCCAUAGUGAUAUUUGGGGACCAUAAUUCAAUUUUGAUCUCUUAAGUAAUAAAUGGUUUGUCAUCUUUGUUGACAAUUGCACUCGCUACAUGUGGGUAUUCUUCCCUAAACAGAAAUCUAAAGUUUCAGUGACACUAAAACGUUUUUACACAACAAUCCAAACCAAAUUUGAUACAUUUAUAAAAAGAUUCAGAUCAAAUAAUGAUAAAAAAUACUUUAGCAAUGAUCUGAACUCUUCAUUACAAACUGAGGGUAUUAUUAAUUAGUCUUCAUGUGUUUGUACUCUUCAGCAAAAUGAUUUGGCAAAAAUGAAAAAUCAACACCUCUUGGAGAUUACAUGAUCACUCUUAUUUUAGUCAAAAGCACCUAAAUUUUUUGGGGUGAAACUAUCUUAACAACAACAUAUUUGAUAAACCGUCCUCCCACUAGAAUCUUAUAUUUUCAAAGUUCUAUAGAGAAGUUAGCUUCAUUUUUCCUACUAAUCAUCCUCAUACCUCACUAGAACCUCGCAUGUUUGAGUGUGUUUCAUUUAUUCAUAACCAUGAUCCAACUAAAGGUAAAUUAGAUCCUAGAUCUCUCAAAUGUGUGUUUUUUAGAUAUUCAGCCCCUCAAAAGGGUUAGCAUUGUUAUCAUUCAUCCACUUGAAGAUUAUUUCUAACUAUGGAUGUUACCUUUCAUGAAUAUGAGUGUUAUUUCAUAAAUCUUCUCUAAAUACACCUAUGCCGUUUCAACAUUUAAAUGAUCUCACUACAAGUGGAAUUUCUCCCCUUCUAGGUAAGAACAUUCUGCCAAUUCACAUGAGUGAUCAAAGUUCACCUCUUCCUAGUCUGCUUCUAGAGGAUCUCAAAUUUGGUUGUUUAUUCCAGGACACAAGUACCUCCAAAUUUUGAAUCAACUCAAGAACUUGAAUCUGACUUACCCAAUACCCAAGAAACCACAUCAUUUUCUUAUUGCCUUUAGAAAACCUCCAUGAACUUGUACAAAAUGCCCUUUAUACCCUUCAACAAACUUUAUUUCCUAUCACAAGACUUCUCCUAUUUAUAAAACCUUCCUUGAUACCUUGGAUGAUAUUACUAUUCCAACUAAUGUUUCAAAAAACUCUCUCCAAGGAAGAGUGGAAACAAGCUAUGGACGACUAAAUGUAUGCUCUUGAAAAAAAUAAUGCAUAGGAACUCGUACCUCUGCCUAAAGAUAAAAGGAUGGCUGGUUGUAAAUGAGUCAAUUCCAUAAAAUCUAAGGCUAAUAGAUCAAUACGUGCAGAUUUAUGGAAUUACCUAUCAUGAAACAUUUUUUCCUGUGGCAAAGAUGUGUGCAGUCAAAAUUAUUCUUUCUUUGGCAGCCAUUUUUAGUUGGGAUAUCCAAUAAUGUGAUGUGAAGAAUGUCUUUCUUGAAGGAGAUCUUACUAAUGAAGUGUAUAUGUAUUAUCCACAUGGUUAUGAAGGACAAUUAUCACCUAAUAUUGCUUGGAGACUCAAGAAGUCAUUGUAUGGAUUGAAACAGUCUCCACAUGCAUGGUUUGAGAGAUUUACUGCAGUCAUAUGAAAAUUUGAUUAGUAUCCUAGCAAUGUUGAUUAUACUUCAUUUUUUAAACAUACUUCAUUAAGGAGAGUUACUAUACUUAUUGUUUAUGUUGAUGAUAUCAUAAUUACAGGAAGUGAUGCCACUGAACAAAAUCAUUUGAGCAAAUACCUUGCCAAAGAGUUUGAUGUCAAGACUUUAGGUUGCCAUAAAUAUUGUCCAGGUAUCGAGGUGACCCAUUCUUCUAAGGACAUCUUCAUCUCUCAACAAAAGUAUGUAACAGAUCUUCUAAAAGGUAAUGGAAAGUCUGCACAUAAAUCAGCCAGUACCCCCUCUUGAUCUUAAUUACAAUUUUUCUCUUGAUGAAGGAGAUAAGUCUAUUGAUUAGGAAUCAACAUCUUAUUGGACGGUUGAUAUAUCUCACACAAGCUAGACCUGGCAUUUCUUAUGCAGUUAUUCUCCAGAGCCAAUCAUAUAUCAACCAAAUGAAUCUCAUCUUUAGGCUGCCGAUCAGAUGAUACACUACUUGAAAGGUACUCCUGGAAAAGGCAUUCUCUAUAAAUGUGGUGGUAUCAUAUUAGUUGAGAUGUAUAUAGAUGUCAACUAUGAUGGUUCUCCCUUAGAUCAUCAAUCAACUUCGGGUCUUCUGACAUUUGUAGGAGGCAAUUUAGUUAAUUGGCGCAACAAGAAAGAAAAUCUUAUUGUUCACUCAAGUGUUGAAGCAGAAUUCAGAACACUUGCAUAUGAGGUAUGUGAAUUACUUUGGGUGAAGAUUCUACUCACUAACUUCAAAAUUCCUGACAAGUCUUAUGAAGCUCUACUGUGACAAUAAAUUUGCAAUCAAUUUUAUGCACAAUCCGACCAAACAUGAUCGCCAAAAGCAUGUAGAGAUCAAUCGCGAUUUUUUCAAAUGAAAAAUUAAAGUCCAAAGCAAUUUGCAUCCCCUACAUCUCCACUCAACAUCAAUUGGCUGAUUUACGGACGAAUAGUGUCUCUGGCACUCAACUACAAGUGCUCUCCAAGUUGGGAAUGGAUGAUAUCCACUCACCAAAUUGAGGGGGAAUGUUGAAACACUCUGUGUGCGGCUGAUGAGGAGUAUAUUACGUGAUUCACUUAUGAAAACAAAUGAUUUCACAUGUUUGUCUUAGUGUGCUUGGGAGUGUAAGGUUCUCUGUUUAGAACAUUUCUUGUGGAUCUGUUAUAAAUAACAAAUCUACUGUCUUGAUCUAAAAAUGAUUGAGAAACAUGAUUUCCUUCCCUUGUAUUAUAUCGGAGUUCUAUUUUUCUCCCUUCCACGAGAAGGUUUCUUGUUCUUCUAGACAAAGAAUCUUGGAGGAAUUACAACAGGUAGAAACCCCAAAUAUUGUGAAAGUAAUUUCAACGUGCAUAGGACUCCACAAAGAAGAAAAUAAGCGUUCUACAAAAAACAUUACUGUUAAGUGAGGGUGCAAAUUUUACAAAACCCUUAACCAAAACCAAAAGGAUCUUCACAUAUCAUGAUACCUCAAGGAAAAUUAGGCUCAAUUUGAAAAAACAUUAAAAAAAAUGAAAAAGAUUCAUUCCAGACUAUCCAAUACAUGAACAUAAUUUCUACUAUAACUUUAUCCACAAUUAGACUUUUCCAAGGUGCCAUGUCUUAUUGCCAUGUCCUUACCUAAAUAAUGCAUAGCUGUAGUAAAUACGAAAUAAAUAUGAAUGUUAAAAAGUAACUUUGUCAGCCCGAAUAUGAUCUCUAAUUGACUAACUUCAACAAUCUAGUAAAAUUAGAUUUCAUAUUUAAGUGAAUUCAUCUUCAAUUUCCUUCUUCAACUUUGAUUUUUAUAUUCUUUAGUUGUAAAAUUAUUCAGUUCCAUCUCAUGCCCUCAAAAAGUUUAUGAAUAAACAAUACAAUUUCUGGGAGAAUGUGCCUAUGAUUUAUUUCAAUAUCACAUGAAAGCCAUUGGACACUUCAAAGAGCGAGGACUCUACCGUCCUCCCUAAUAAACUGUAUUGAAUAACUUACAGCCUACAUGUAAGUAAGUUACAAUGAUCCUUCAACAAGACUCGAACAAAUCCCAAAGCUAAAGUGCAGCAAACAUUAGGCAUGUAGAUUCACCGACAAUAGAAAUAUUGGAUCUUUUGUUCUUACAAGAAGAAAAGAGUUAGCUAAAUACAUAAACACGAGAAACACACAUAGAUGUCACUCAAUAUUUGCUAUCCCUUAGUAGAUUUAUUGUCCUUCUAUUUAAAGCAGUAAUGUAACAUAUUCAAGAGAAUAAAAGGGCAAUUGGUUGAAUAAUUCGAAGUAUGUUAGUGUCUAAAAUAUACAUAAAACCAGCAUACAUAGGCCUUGACAGUGAAUGGAAGAGAAAAAAAUAGUGCUCGGAACUAAGAGCUUAGUCAUGUACUCGAUAAAAAUAAUUAUUAAAUUAUUUAGGUAAGAAACACUCAUCCAAGUAACAUACUUUCUCAAGUGGAACUGAAGCUAUCAAAUCAUGUGCUUCUUUUGACUUCAAAAUAAUAUGAUCCACCAAUUUAUGAAUCUGAGAUGCAGAGAGGUUAAUGUGGACAUUAAAACCUGGGAGAUCUGCAUAAAUAAAGCCAAAGCAAGAUUUAAAUUUCUGAUAAAAGAACCAGAGACAAAAAAAUAUUGUCAAGGAUAUCCAGUAUUGAGGAAUUACAAUAUUAUUUGAUGGACAUUUAAAAACAAUAUAUGUCCUUUAAGAUAAUGAGAAAUGAUAAAAAUGAAAAGGUAAUUCACCGUCCUUCUACAGAGGAAAUGGUCAUCGAUAUAGUUUUUAUUUUAUGAUUAUGAAUUUCUAAAAAACUACAGAAAACCUCCAUUCCAACAUGUUUCAUUUACACAUUUUUUCACACAAGAAUCAUCUAAAUAUAUUAAGACAAGGGGUAAUUUUUUCUCAAGUCAUCCGUAUCCAACAAGUAAUGAUUAACUGUAGUGUCACCCAAUGGAAAUGACCUUUAAAUUGUUACUACUUUAUCAGAAAUAAACCGAAACAAUGUACCAAUCAUCAAAUGAAAUGUCUGUUUCAUCAUCUUCUGAUCGAAAUUUUCCAGUAACAUAAACUCUCAUGAUGCCCUCACAGCCAUUUAAAUUACCCAUUACGGCCUCACAGUAAAAUAAUGAAGAAUUUAGCAGUAAACACCAUCCACCAUCUUGAAAAUUCAUUCAUCUCAGCAUAUUUUUCAUUUACCAUCAUCAACACAAAUUCCAAUUUUCUCCCUCAUAUGCUCUGUGGAAUAGUAGCUGUUCAACCACUGCUGUAUGCAAGCUUUUCAAGAUGCCAAAGGCAGUCACACAACCUUACUUCCUAGCCAACACGCUUGGCAAAAAAAAUUAAAGUAUAGAAAAUUACGGCAACAUAUGAAUUAAAUGACCCAUAGAUAUAUCCAUAUUUUCAUACAUUUGCAAUAAGAUAUGUUCACAAUAAAUAUAACAUGAGAUUAAAUUACAAAUAAAAUAAAUAUACAUUGAUAAAUGAAAAAAAAUCAUUGAUAGAUAAAUAAUGUAUCACAAUGAAAUGAUUAGAUAUGGAGUGGAUAUGUAAGAUAUAAUACCGCAUCUAACAUCCAUAUAAUAUAUGCUUACUUGUCCACGCAAGUAAACAAGACCACAACUUGAGCGUUCUUUCAUAAGAACCUGCGCAACCUGACAUUAAUUUGUAUGCAUGAAGCCAGAUUACAUUCGUGCAAACACGAAUUUUCAGCCAUGAAGUGACCGUUCGAUUGGCAAGUAUUUUUGAAUCGUGAAUCGUAGAAAUCACACACAUAAAGGUUUAUUAUAAUGAGUGUCAAGAGAAAAUGUCAUAUUUCAUUCAUCAACUCAAAGCUUACUUGAACCAAAGUAGGCUGUCCAAUGGCAAUGAAUAGACAUUAUAGUUAACUUUUCCAUCCGAUUAUAUCUGAAAAAACACAUCCUAAAGCCUAACUCAUCCUCAGGAAAUGCAUCCAGCAAAUGGCACUAUCUCAAUAUCCAGAGCACUGAAACAUCAGUGUGGUUUUUCCCAUUUGUGAUGCUUAUCAGUCAAAUAUAUCCUCCCUGGCUACAUGAGGAAAUGUAUACUAUACCACAGCUCCACCAUGGCUUGCACAGGAAAAAGAGCAAAUCACUCAAAAGGAGGGAAGCUACAACUACACUUCCAUUAUAAAUUCAAAUGUGAUGCAAUAAAUAGCGCCAAGGCAUGAUCUUGAGGGAGGAUGACCUCGUGUUGAUCUCUCUCUUCUGAAAGUACUCCAUGGCAAUGAGUUGGUCGUAGAUAAUGUUUAGGAAAUGUUCACCUCUGUACGUAUUAUAUACAGGGCAUAUUUAAUAUCUUAUAGCACUCUCAAAGGCAGUGAGUGCAGAAAACUAGAGAAGACCAUUGCAUGGACUAUUAAGAGAAGCCUUGUCUUCCUCCAAUGGUUGCCAAUUUCCUGUAUCCUUAGUUGUCAUGACUUUCCUUCAUUUCGCAUAGCCUAUGUGAGGCAAUCAUGAACCUUUUCGAAAUGAGUAUACGAUGCAUUUUACUUUACAUCCAAAAUCAAUUUGAGUGCAACAAAAAACCCAGCUCAUUUUUAGGAAACACCUCCAAUGAGAUCACAACCCACGGGGAUGCCUUUGGAUUCAUGUUAACUGUGAAAUAUGGAGCAUAUUCGGAAAUGAUGUCCCUAGUGAUGUUCAAUAAAUUGACGGAAAAUCAAUCUUCCCAAAGAAAAGAAAAUAUCAGCAACUUUUCCGCCAUAAGAUAAAUCAGGAUUAAUUUCCAGGUUAAGCAGCUUGUGUUCUACUCCGUCAUGCUAAGCUGGCAUCUCAUUGAUUAGAGUAAUUUAUCAUGAUUUUGAUUCAUAUCGGAGUAUCUUUUUUUCCCGACUAAUCCAGCGGCAUUUUUUAUGGUGUAAAAGCUGGGCAUUUGGAUAGGGAUAGUAAACAUCGAACCGUCUGUUGCACACUUACUUUACGUCAAAUGCUUGCCUUUGCACACGUUAUUGAGCAUCGGAACACAUGAAAUUCACAAAAUAAACAAACUGGCACCGUUACAUCUAAAGUUAUGGAACGACUUCGACAAUAUUCUUCGGGAAAUAAAAAAUAAUAACGAUACGACGGAACACGAAGAUGCUACAAAAAUGGCGCAGUAGAGGCAUGGUUUCGAAAAGAAGACAAGCUCCCGGGAAAGGAAAAAAGGACACCUGUGGCCUUCUUCCUUUUGCUUUUGUUGCUGCAGCUCCUGUUUCGAUGGGCAUUGAGGGCGGAGAUGAUGAAGUUCAGGCCGACAACGACAAGCGCCGCGACGCCCGUAUAUGCGACCACCCGCCUCCCUCUCCUCCCUCUCUCCGUCCUCGCUUCGUCCAUCAGCGAAGCAGUAUGAGCACCGGUGUCGGAGAGGAGGGAAGGGAUGGGGAUUCGAUUUGAAAGAAUGGCCACCACCAGCCGUUGAAGCCAAGAAAGGGG